GCACUGCUGAAGAGUCCCAAAAACAGGACGAAACAGCUGUCCAGUGC
rfam:Echinostoma caproni strain Egypt genome assembly, scaffold: ECPE_scaffold0002018